GAUACUACUAGAUUUGGUUUAAUGUGGAGCACUCACCAUAUAAAUCCCUGUGCAUGAGCUGUUACUAUAGAAACAAGAAUGUUUUAGAACAAGCCCAUUAAGCUAGAACUAUCGUCAGAGGUGCUGUUAUAGAAAAUUAAUCACCACCUUCCGAUCUGAGAAUGCAACAGCACUGUGGUAUGUAAAUGUAUUUCCACAGCACAGACGGUGCUGCUGGUUGUCGCAGCUUUCCUCUUCUGUUGGAUGCCCCACCAUAUCAUUGCCAUGUGGGUGGAAUUUGGAGAUUUCCCCCUGAACGAUGCCUCCUUUGCGUUUCGCAUCAUGUCGCACUGCUUGGCCUAUGGAAACUCCUGUGUCAACCCCAUUCUCUACGCCUUCCUCUCGGAGAACUUUCGGAAGGCUUGCCGGCAGGUCUUCACCUGCCGUCUCUUCUACUCACCCCCGCCUGUGAAGAAAAUAGCACGGAUCAGGAUGGAGAAUUUCUCCACCACACACUCCACCACCAACGUGUGAGAGGGGACUAAGCUCUGUGAAGCUGAAACUGAGCCGCUAUUGCAUUUGCAAAUAGUCUCCAUUUCUUAUUCAGUUGCAGCCAAAUCCCUCACUGCUAUUCAAACUAAAAAUACAGUGCAGUGUAUCUAUGACUUGUACAAACGCAGGCUGUAAAUUCAUCAGCGGAGCUAGGUAGCCUCGAGAGCCGAAAGCACUCUCAUCCUCAAGAUACAUUUUCAUGCUCAGAGCAGCCAAGAGAAAGUGACGCUCUGAUAAUUUAACUGAAAAACAUCCAUGUCGGUGUGGCUCAGUGAAUUGUGACUGCAGUGUUCAUUUUAUUUCCAGUGAGACUUCAUUUAUCUAUGCUAGUCUAUGAUAUGUGUGCUAUAAUUUGCUAACUGACUUGUUUACAUGGUUAAAUGUGUUGUAUAAUGUGCAAUCUGCAGCCAUCAUUACAAUAAAGGAAUGAACAUGGACAUUAACAUAACAUGGACAUUAACAUGGACAUUAUUAAUGCCUUUAAUAAUGUUUCUCACACCUCAGGCCAUGUCCACACAGUAAUACGGAUACAUUUGAAAUCAGACAAGUGUUUUUUUGUUUUGGCUUGCCGUCCUCACCGAAACCACUAAACCACUAAAAAUGAACUUUUUGGGGGAAAAAAUAAAUAAAUUAGUAGCUUAGAUGAAAGGAAACAGAGAUGCUCAUGUCUGUCGUCUUGUGAUAGAUCCCUGAUUGUCACGUGAUCCAGAUCCAACACCCACAAAACAGAUGUUUAUUCCUUUUUUUUUUUUAACAAUUAAACACAUCUGUGUAUAUAAACAGUACAUACCAAUGGUGUACCUAUUGUAUAAUGAUAAUUUUUGUGAUUUCUCCAUCUUUUCUGGGGUACACUGCAUCAAACCAUGGAAAAUGUGCAAACUGCGCAAGUUUCUUGGUUCAGUUAGUGCACAUAAUUUGCAUACGAUUUGCAUACGUCCCUAUCUUACUCAGAAAUAUGGAAGCCCUGAACCACAAAUGCUUAGUCAUUAUUUCAAAUUAUAAUCUUAUCAUUUUUUUUACUUCAUAACUCAUUAUUUCAAGUUGUUUCGAAUUUAAUAUCUCACUAGAUCAACGUAAUAACUCAUUUCAAGAUCUCAUUAUUUUGUCGAAACCCAUUCUUUCGGGAUGUUACGUCUCUGUUUUGGCUUAAUAACUCAUGAUGAUAUUAUGUUGUUAUUUUGUAACACCCCACAAUCUAUUAAAUAAGGUUAGUUUAUUGAAUUCUUAUUUCUUAAUGCUGUUAUAAAAGUAGAGUUCUUAAAAUGUAUCUCUAUCGGUGUGGACAUGACCCCAAAGGAUCAGCCAUUUAUCAACAACAAAAAUGCAAAUGUUAUGUCUGUGAAGUUAAACUAUAUAUAAUAUUUGCAUAAACUUGUAUAGCAAACGGUCAUGUCAUUGUUUCAUAAUCUUUAAGCAUUCAAAGGAUGAAGCAGACUUGUGAAAAUAUCAGAGGUCAAAGUUCAGCUGUGAGACCUUUCAGUGAGACGAGAGUGCCUAGAGAAGCCUAGAGUGCUCCUAUAAAGCAGAUCCCUUCACCAAAAAACCUUUUUUUUUUUUUUUUUAGCCUGCCACUCAUUCUGCAUCUGGGUAUUUCCUGCUUUGAUGUGGAACAGAU